AAAUUGUCCAUGUAUUCUUAAAACUUCGGGACGUAUAAGCGCCACCUCAGAAGUAUCAUUGGAUCGUUUAUUAGUGCAUUACAAAAAAAGCGGUGGCACCCAUGAUUAUAAAUGGCAGUGUACUCAUGAAGUCCAUUUAAGCACAAAUAUGGUGCUUGAAUUGUUUCCCAUAUCCCUAUUUGGUUUUGUCUGUACAUGUAUGUCACAAGAUCAACCCUUUCAGUGCUGGAACCGAAUUUUGGCGUUUCAUCAGGAUCGCAACUGUUUGCUAUUAUGAUGAUAGUUUUUAACAAAAAAUCGAAGAAAAUGACAGUUUUAAAAAUUAUGCAGACGGUAUUUUAGCAGACGACAAAAAUCCCAGCAUGCAAAUGCUAAAUGAAUCCAUAACAGUAAAUGAAUCCAUAACAGUAAAUGAAUCCAUAACAGUAUUCUCAUUUUGAUAAGCUUUGAUAGAUUUGAUUGCAGUGCAAAACCUAAUAUAUUUAUCAAUAUAAUUUUAAUUUAUUCAUGCUUGAAGGUUUGCUACUAAAUGUCGGUUAAAUAGUAAGGAUCUAACAUGAGUUGUGACAUUUCUUACAAUCUUUUAUGAAACAAGUUUAGGAAUUAAUUUUAAAAAGAAACAUUCUUUAUAAAUGUCUUAUACAAAACAUGUUGAUAAAUACAAGUAUAAUACUUACACCACACACCUAUUUAAAGUUUGCCAAGUAUAUCUGCAUGUGAUUUGGUGAAGUAAAAUAAGCCAAUAAGAAUGCUAUGAAAAAAUUAUGUUGACAAAUAUUUUGAAACUUACACCAGUAAAGAAGCUUGAAGUGUCAUAUGCAUUGUGCAAUGAUGUGUACUUUUAGCUGUUUUACAGAUGUGGUCCAUGUUGCCCUGCAUUAUCCCUUUCAGUGCGGGAACCGAAUUUUGAAGGCCUUUGCAAACAGUUUGGAUCCAGAUGAGACGCCACAGAACAUGGUGUCUCAUCAGGAUCCAAACUGUUUGCUAUUCUGAUAGUAUUCUGUGAAAAAAAUCGAAGAAAAUGCUAAUUUUAGAAAUUCAGCAGACGACAUUUUAGCAGACGACAAAUUUCCCAGCAUGCAAAGGGUUAAUACCAGAAUGUGUCAUCAUAAGCUCAUAAAUUGCACAAAACCUUAACAUUAAUACAAAUAUGUUGCUAAUUAUAUGUUGGGAAAUAGCUACACAUACACAACAUUUACUUUGUGUUGCUUUUUAUCUUCUUCUACAAAGAACACAUUUUGGGUCAUCGUUUGUUUUAUACCUUUAUACUAAUAUAUUUAAUGAAUUCACAAUUGAACUUAUGGUAAAAAAGUCACGGUGCAAAUUUAAAGGCUGUAUGCAUUACAGGCAUAUACAUCAGCAUGAAUUAAAGUUUCAUGUUCCUUCAUUUAGUUUUCGUAUGGUCGAAAAUUUCUGUUAAGUAGCGACUUUAUUGUUUUUAUGAUUAAAUUUCUUCAUGUGGUCAUCAGUCUAAGUGUUGGGGGUUUCAGUUCAGUCUGAGUGUUGGGGGUUUCAGUUCAGUCUAAGUGUUGGGGGUUUCAGUUCAGUCUAAGUGUUGGGGGUUUCAGUUCAGUCUAAGUGUUGGGGGUUUCAGUUCAGUCUGAGUGUUGGGGGUUUCAGUUCAGUCUAAGUGUUGGGGGUUUCAGUUCAGUCUCAGUGUUGGGGGUUUCAGUUCAGUCUAAGUGUUGGGGGUUUCAGUUCUGUCUAAGUGUUGGAGGUUUCAGUUCAGUCUAAGUGUUGGGGGUUUCAGUUCAGUCUAAGUGUUGGGGGUUUCAGUUCAGUCUAAGUGUUGGAGGUUUCAGUUCAGUCUCAGUGUUGGGGGUUUCAGUUCAGUCUAAGUGUUAGAGGUUUCAGUUCAGUCUAAGUGUUGGGGGUUUCAGUUCAGUCUAAGUGUUGGAGGUUUCAGUUCAGUCUAAGUGUUGGGGGUUUCAGUUCAGUCUAAGUGUUGGAGGUUUCAGUUCAGUCUAAGUGUUGGGGGUUUCAGUUCAGUCUAAGUGUUGGAGGUUUCAGUUCAGUCUAAGUGUUGGGGGUUUCAGUUCAGUCUAAGUGUUGGAGGUUUCAGUUCAGUCUCAGUGUUGGGGGUUUCAGUUCAGUCUAAGUGUUGGAGGUUUCAGUUCAGUCUCAGUGUUGGGGGUUUCAGUUCAGUCUAAGUGUUGGAGGUUUCAGUUCAGUCUAAGUGUUGGGGGUUUCAGUUCAGUCUGAGUGUUAGAGGUUUCAGUUCAGUCUCAGUGUUGGGGGUUUCAGUUCAGUCUCAGUGUUGGAGGUUUCAGUUCAGUCUAAGUGUUGGGGGUUUCAGUUCAGUCUGAGUGUUAGAGGUUUCAGUUCAGUCUAAGUGUUGGGGGGUUUCAGUUCAGUCUGAGUGUUAGAGGUUUCAGUUCAGUCUAAGUGUUGGAGGUUUCAGUUCAGUCUCAGUGUUGGGGGUUUCAGUUCAGUCUAAGUGUUGGAGGUUUCAGUUCAGUCUAAGUGUUGGGGGUUUCAGUUCAGUCUGAGUGUUAGAGGUUUCAGUUCAGUCUAAGUGUUGGAGGUUUCAGUUCAGUCUCAGUGUUGGGGGUUUCAGUUCAGUCUAAGUGUUAGAGGUUUCAGUUCAGUCUAAGUGUUGGGGGUUUCAGUUCAGUCUAAGUGUUGGAGGUUUCAGUUCAGUCUAAGUGUUGGGGGUUUCAGUUCAGUCUAAGUGUUGGGGGUUUCAGUUCAGUCUCAGUGUUGGGGGUUUCAGUUCAGUCUAAGUGUUGGGGGUUUCAGUUCUGUCUAAGUGUUGGAGGUUUCAGUUCAGUCUAAGUGUUGGGGGUUUCAGUUCAGUCUAAGUGUUAGAGGUUUCAGUUCAGUCUAAGUGUUGGGGGUUUCAGUUCAGUCUAAGUGUUGGGGGUUUCAGUUCAGUCUGAGUGUUGGGGGUUUCAGUUCAGUCUGAGUGUUGGGGGUUUCAGUUCAGUCUAAGUGUUGGGGGUUUCAGUUCAGUCUAAGUGUUGGGGGUUUCAGUUCAGUCUGAGUGUUAGAGGUUUCAGUUCAGUCUGAGUGUUGGGGGUUUCAGUUCAUUGUGUUGGGGGUUUCAGUUCAUUGUGUUGGGGGUUUCAGUUGAUUGUGUAUUAUUUUGAAAGGUGUUGAUACUAAAAACAUAGUGGUUGUUUUUUUUCUUCUUCUAGUUUUCUCUCCGUGAUUGAUUUCCUAUUCUUUAAAUUUGUGUAUUUAUUUUCUUUACAAUUAUAGAUAUGAAUCAUUCACAUUUCUUCCCUUUGAUAUGGCAAGUAUCGUUAUCCGUUGUCUCUUAACUUUUGUAUUUGAUAUUUGAUUCCUGGGCAGCAAAAUUUCAAUACUGUGUCAACUGUGUGUGUUUUUGUUUGUUUACUACUUAUAGUGAACUAGAAAAUUUCUAUAAUGAUAUCCUUCUAUGGUCAAUUAUUUUGGAUAUCCCUUUCUUACGCACAAUUUGAGUUGUGUUUUGACUUAUUAAUAAAAAAUAAAAAUCGCGCAAUAUUAUGAGUAUUCAGUGUCCUUGAGAUGUUUGUGUCUUUUUAAUUCUUUUUGGCCCAUAAAUGGGGUUGAUUGAGGGAACAGAAAUUUGGAUAUGUUAAUAAUGUUUGGGAGGGAAAGGAAUCUGGGAUUUGCCAAUUAAUAACAAUUCUUUAGUUUUAUCCACAGAACCAAGUAAUUUACCAAGUAUUAUACCUUAUAAAAAAAAAUAGUUCUUUUUUUCAAUUUCUCAAUCAAUAGGUAAUUUGAUUUAUUACAUUAUCAAUCCAAAUUUAUCAAAUUUUUUUCAUAGUGUAAUUUCAUCACUAUUUUGGUAAUUUUUUUUUUAUUAUCAUAUAAAGGCAACUUAUUUGUUAAUCUGUAACUCAAUACUGAGGUAGGAUCAGUUAAUCUGUAACUCAAUACUGAAGUAGGAUCAGUUAUUUGUUAAUCUGUAACUCAAUACUGAGGAAGGAUCAGUUAAUCUGUAACUCAAUACUGAAGUAGGAUCAGUUAUUUGUUAAUCUGUAACUCAAUACUGAAGUAGGAUCAGUUAUUUGUUAAUCUGUUACUCAAUACGGAGGAAGGAUCAGUUAAUCUGUAACUCAAUACUGAAGUAGGAUCAGUUAAUCUGUAACUCAAUACUGAAGUAGGAUCAGUUAUUUGUUAAUCUGUAACUCAAUACUGAGGAAGGAUCAGUUAAUCUGUAACUCAAUACUGAAGUAGGAUCAGUUAUUUGUUAAUCUGUACCUCAAUACUGAAGUAGGAUCAGUUAUUUGUUAAUCUGUUACUCAAUACUGAGGAAGGAUCAGUUAAUCUGUAACUCAAUACUGAGGAAGGAUCAGUUAAUCUGUAACUCAAUACUGAGGAAGGAUCAGUUAAUCUGUAACUCAAUACUGAGGAAGGAUCAGUUAAUCUGUAACUCAAUACUGAAGUAGGAUCAGUUAUUUGUUAAUCUGUUACUCAAUACUGAGGAAGGAUCAGUUAAUCUGUAACUCAAUACUGAAGUAGGAUCAGUUAUUUGUUAAUCUGUUACUCAAUACUGAGGAAGGAUCAGUUAAUCUGUAACUCAAUACUGAGAUAGGAUCAGUUAUUUGUUAAUCUCUACCUCAAUACUGAGGUAGGAUCAGUUAUUUAAGAUAUUUCACAUUGGUGUAGGCUUAUAACAACAAGCUUUUAUUUCAUUUGUUAAUUUCUUAUACACUACUUAUUAUCUGAUGUUUUGAAUAUGAUAAGAAUAUUUAGUUUUUAUGCCCCCGGUAGGAUGGCAUAUAGUGAUCGCACUGUCCGUCUGUCUGUCUGAAAUUCCAUCACACUUUGCAUUUAGGUUUUGCGUUUAGGUUUUGCGUGAAGGUUUCGAUUUCUUUCUUUUCUUUCUUUUUUUUUUCAAAGCAGCGCAGUAGGGGGCAUUGUGUUUCUGACAAAAACGUCUCUUGUUCAAAUAAUUUUGGUAUUCAAUAAUUUUAUUAAUGUGAACAUUUAAACUUAUUGUUUCAUAAUUGUAAAUUCAGUGUGUGGUGUGGAGGCUGAGUAUAUUUAUUUAUAAUAUUGUUAAGAAACUAUGUCAAAUCUAAACCUUUUGUGAUUUUGUUUGAAAAUGUUGGAAAUGAUAACUCUGUUAAUAAUUGGGUGGCUCUGGUGUGUUGGGUAUAGUUUAGGUUUUAUGUACAAAUUUAGAAGCUGAGUAUAUUUAUUCAUAAUAUUGUUAAGAAACUAUGUCAAAUGUUAACUUUUUGUGAUUUUGUUUGGAAAUGUUGGAAAUGAUAAGAAUAUUUAUUUUUUCAAAGCAUUUUGGUAUUCAAUCACUAAGUAACUCUGUUAAUAAUUUGGUGGCUCUGGUGUCUUGGGUAUAGCUCAGGUUUUAUGUACAAAUUUAGAAGCUGAGUAUAUUUAUUCAUAAUAUUGUUAAGAAACUAUGUCAAAUGUAAACUUUUUGUGAUUUUGCUUGGGAAUGUAAGAAAUGAUAAGAAUAUUUAGUUUUUCAAAACAUUUUGGUUUUCAAUCAUUUAAGUAACUCUGUUAAUAAUUUGGUGGCUCUGGUUUGUUGGGUAUAGUUUAUGUUUUAUGUACCAAUUUAUUUAUGAAACUAUGUGGAAAUUGAGAAUGAAGUUGCAUUUGUCCCAAUUUCUGGAUUGAACGGAGACAACAUGAUUGAAUCAACAGAUAAGAUGCCCUGUUACAAGGGAUGGGCCGUUGAGAGGAAGGAAGGCAAUGUGUCUUGAAAGACCCUGUUUGAGGCUUUCGCCUUAACCAUACUAGACGCCCCUGCUCUGCCACUCCAGGACGCCUACAAAAUUGGAGGUAUUGUAACAGUGCCAAGUGGGGAAUGGUAUCCUCAAGCCCGGCAUGGUGGUCACAUUCUCCCCUGCCAACAUCACCACUGAUGUUGGAUUCAAUGUCAACAAUAUCUCUGUCAAGGAAAUCAGAACAGGAAACGUCACUGGCGACUCCAAGAACGUAUUUUUUGCUUACCAAACACUUUUUGUAUAUAAAUUGUUACAGCAUUUUUUGUUAUGUCUUUCAUGUAAAUAUAUUUUGCUUGUCUUGUGAUGUAGAUGUCAGAGAUACCAUGGUAAGAAAUCUUGUUGGCCUGAACCACCAUAGAGAUUUCUUCCAUGGUAUCUCUGACAUUUACAUUGCAGACAUUUUUUGUUAUGUGUAAAGUCAGUUUGUAUUUUGUUUGUCUUGUGAUGUAAAUGUCAGAGAUACCAUGGUAAGAAAUCUUGUUGGCCUGAACCACCAUAGAGAUUUCUUUCAUGGUAUCUCUGACAUUUACAUUGCAGACAUUUUUUGUUAUGUGUAAAGUCAGUUUGUAUUUUGUUUGUCUUGUGAUGUAGAUGUCAGAGAUACCAUGGUAAGAAAUCUUGUUGGCCUGACCAACCAUAGAGAUUUCUUCCAUGAUAUCUCUGACAUUUACAUUGCAGACAUUUUUUGUUAUGUGUUAAGUCAGUUUGUAUUUUGCUUGUCUUGUGAUGUAGAUGUCAGAGAUACCAUGGUAAGAAAUCUUGUUGGCCUGAACCACCAUAGAGAUUUCUUUCAUGAUAUCUCUGACAUUUACAUCGCAGACUUUAUAACUUACUGACUAUAAAACAUUUGUCAAAAGCUUAACUCUUUUUUUAUAUCUUUAAACUUUAACACCAACAACGAAUUGACUCAUUUAUUUUUUUUUGGCAAAUUAGACAUCUCCCAUUAUUCAAAUCAUCAUGUAGAAAAAAGUACCUGUUUUUUUUUGUUUUUUGUUUAAUUAAGCUGUGGGUUUUUUCAAGUUGUAAUUUU